CUGCAGUCAAUUAAGCCGACCAUGUUUUGCUUCCAUCGGAAUGUGGCGUGCAAUGGCUGCGCACAGUGACUCCCUUGGUUGUGUAUGUGCUUUGCGCUCAGUGCAAAGUGCUCUAAGGGACCUUGGGGACAUUC
ensembl:snoRNA SNORA70 Small nucleolar RNA SNORA70